GACGAACGCUGGCGGCGUGCUUAACACAUGCAAGUCGAACGGAAAGGCCCUGCUUUUGUGGGUUGCUCGAGUGGCGAACGGGUGAGUAACACGUGAGUAACCUGCCCUUUACUUUGGGAUAACUUCAGGAAACUGGGGCUAAUACCGGAUAGGAGCUCCUGCUGCCUGGUGGGCGUUGGAAAGUUGCGGCGGUUGGGGAUGGACUCGCGGCUUAUGAGCUUGUUGGUGGGGUAGUGGCUUACCAAGGCGUUGACGGGUAGCCGGCCUGAGAGGGUGACCGGCCACAAUGGGACUGCGAUACGGCCCAGACGCCUACGGGAGGCAGCAGGGGGGAGUAUUGCACAAUGGGCGGAAGCCUGAUGCAGCAACGCCGCGUGCGGGAUGACGGCCUUCGGGGUGUAAACCGCUUUCGCCUGUGACGAAGCGUGAGUGACGGUAAUGGGUAAAGAAGCACCGGCUAACUACGUG
rnacentral:rRNA from 1 species